GCUAAAAAUUUCUACGGGCCGGAACUAUAGGGGAGGCCUCUCCCUUUAACCGUUUAUUAAUGCAUUGAACUCGACCAAUCAGAAGUCACGUUUUACCAUAUAUUUUUGCAUUCCCUAAUGUCCAUGUUAAACUUGCAUAUUAUAUAGGCAAAAUAUUAUUGGGAAGUUUUCUGGCUAUUGGAGGUCUGGCCGUUUGUAAGAGUUUGCUCAGUUCUCAAUGGGAGAGAACGCACAUGUUCAGAGGCAGUUGCAGGGACCUCCAAAACAGAGUUUUCGCAGAGCAUGGAUUCAUGCGACACAGGAGGCUGGAGACAGGUGUCGAUUAGGGUUUCACUUUUGGGUAUGCACGUGAGGUAGGUUAUGACAAAUAUAAAAUAGUGCUAUGAGCAGUAUUAUUAAACUCCACAGAUAGCACAGGUUGGCCCUUUAUUAUCUUCAAAUAUCUACAGCAACAUCUGGUCCAAUCUGUUAAAUUUUUUGCUUUUCACGAAAUUUGUUAAGCAAUAUGUUGAAUUCUUCAUUUCCACGAUGUAUGAGUUCCUAAUGCAAACAGUUAGAUUUUUAUUUUCCAUGCUUGAAGCACAUCGGCCAAGUCCAAAACUAAGUUUUAUGAUGCACCAGAAUUAAUGGCUCUAUAUAUAAUUUACUCGUAUUUAUGUCAGUAACUGCUAUAUUAUUGGUUUCCCAUACGAUGACAUAAUAUAUUCCCAACUUGUUGACUUUUAGAUAUCAAA